GGGCCCGCACAAGCGGAGGAACAUGUGGUUUAAUUCGAUGAUACGCGAGGAACCUUACCCGGGCUUGAAAGUUAGUGACGGAUCUGGAAACAGGUCUUCCCUUCGGGGCACGAAACUAGGUGCUGCAUGGUUGUCGUCAGCUCGUGCCGUGAGGUGUCGGGUUAAGUCCCAUAACGAGCGCAACCCCUACCGUUAGUUGCCAUCAGGUCAAGCUGGGCACUCUAGCGGGACUGCCGGUGUAAGCCGAGAGGAAGGUGGGGAUGACGUCAAAUCAGCACGGCCCUUACGUCCGGGGCGACACACGUGUUACAAUGGUCGGUACAGAGGGCAGCUACCUGGUGACAGGAUGCGAAUCUCGAAAGCCGAUCUCAGUUCGGAUUGGAGGCUGAAACUCGCCUCCAUGAAGUUGGAUUCGCUAGUAAUCGCGCAUCAGCCAUGGCGCGGUGAAUACG
rnacentral:rRNA from 1 species